rnacentral:tRNA from 1 species
GCCUUCGUGGUGUAGUGGUCUGCACGCUGGGCGCGUAUUCCAGAGGUCCGGGGUUCGAUUCCCGGCGAAGGCG